AUACAGAGGGUGCAAGCGUUAAUCGGAUUUACUGGGCGUAAAGCGCGCGUAGGUGGCUAAUUAAGUCAAAUGUGAAAUCCCCGAGCUUGACUUGGGAAUUGCAUUCGAUACUGGUUAGCUAGAGUAUGGGAGAGGAUGGUAGAAUUCCAGGUGUAGCGGUGAAAUGCGUAGAGAUCUGGAGGAAUACCGAUGGCGAAGGCAGCCAUCUGGCCUAAUACUGACACUGAGGUGCGAAAGCAUGGGGAGCAAACAGGAUUAGAUACCCUGGUAGUCCAUGCCGUAAACGAUGUCUACUAGCCGUUGGGGCCCUUGAGGCUUUAGUGGCGCAGCUAACGCGAUAAGUAGACCGCCUGGGGAGUACGGUCGCAAGACUAAAACUCAAAUGAAUUGGCGGGG
rnacentral:rRNA from 1 species